rnacentral:rRNA from 1 species
UACAGAGGUCUCAAGCGUUGUUCGGAUUCAUUGGGCGUAAAGAGCGUGUAGGCGGCCAGGUAGGUCCGUUGUGAAAACUCGAGGCUCAACCUCGAGACGUCGGCGGAAACCCUCUGGCUAGAGUCCGGAAGAGGAGAGUGGAAUUCCUGGUGUAGCGGUGAAAUGCGCAGAUAUCAGGAAGAACACCCGUGGCGAAGGCGGCUCUCUGGGACGGUACUGACGCUGAGACGCGAAAGCGUGGGGAGCAAACAGG